GCCAGUUGAUGUGUUGUAGAGCUGCCCUAAUCUUAUUGAAAUUGGCUUUUUUUUAAUUUUACGCUUUAGUAUACCCCACGUGCUUUUGACUUUUUGACCUUAUUUCAAAAGACACAAUAUUGUGAUCACUAUUUCCUAAAUGCUCCCCUAUUUGAAUGUUGUUCAAAAGAUCAAUAUUGUUUGUUAUAACCAGAACCAGACAAGCGUCCUUUCCAGUUGGUGCUUGUACCAGU